ACAUGAGAAGCUGGGACAGGAAGGAUAACGCAUCAUGAAGCGUUCUACUUCUCCUCCUUCGUCCUUGGUACGCAGCCUUGUGAUCCUUGCUCUGAUAUGCUGUUCCCUGUCAUGCUCGGCGUCGGCAAGAGUUGCUCUUGACGGAAGCCAUGAGCCAACGAGUCCUCCGCCGCCCGUGCCAGGUCGCCAGGUCUCUCCGUCACCUCCAACUCCAGUUCCAAGGCCUCCGCUCCAUCCUCCGCCGCCACCGCCACCCAAGCCGGAGAUGUCAGCACUGGCGCCGCACCGCAAGACCCUGCAGCAAGCUGUUAGGAAGGCCAUUUAAUUAUGCACGAAACAGUGCCGCUUAUAUAUUCUUUUCAUCUAUGUAUGAUCCAUCAUGGUGCUAAAUAAUUGAGACGAUAAAUAAUGAUAUUAGCGUA